CCUCCUAUGUGUCUGUUUCUCUGAUAGGCUGGUCGAGCAGUGUGAAAGCCAGUGGAAACUUCAACGCCAACCAAGAUGCAGCGACCCUCUACAAGGCCAUGAAGGGACUGGGAACCGAUGAGGAUUCCAUCAUGAAGUUGUUGACAUCUCGUAGCAACAGCCAGAGACAGCAGAAUCAAAGCUGCAUACAAGACCCUGCAUGGCAAGCUCACAUAAUAUA